UAUCACAGCCUGCUUGGAUUAUG
rnacentral:miRNA from 1 species